UACGAAGGGGGCUAGCGUUGUUCGGAAUUACUGGGCGUAAAGCGUGCGCAGGCGGCUGCUCAAGUCAGGGGUGAAAGCCCAGAGCUCAACUCUGGAAUUGCCUUUGAGACUGAGUGGCUUGAGUACGGGAGAGGUGAGUGGAAUUCCCAGUGUAGAGGUGAAAUUCGUAGAUAUUGGGAAGAACACCGGUGGCGAAGGCGGCUCACUGGCCCGUAACUGACGCUCAUGCACGACAGCGUGAGGAUCAAACAGG
rnacentral:rRNA from 1 species